UACGGUCGCAAGACUAAAACUCAAAGAAAUUGACGGGGACCCGCACAAGCGGUGGAGUAUGUGGCUUAAUUCGAUGCAACGCGAAGAACCUUACCAAGGCUUGACAUGGAUUUCUAAGCACGUGAAAGCGUGUGACCCUUCGGGGGACUUCCACAGGUGCUGCAUGGCCGUCGUCAGCUCGUGUCGUGAGAUGUUGGGUUAAGUCCCGCAACGAGCGCAACCCCUGUGAACUGUUGCCAGCACGUUAUGGUGGGGACUCUGUUCAGACUGCCCAGAUCAACUGGGAGGAAGGUGGGGACGACGUCAGGUCAGUAUGGCCCUUACGCCUUGGGCUGCACACGUACUACAAUGCCCAGCACAAUGAGAACCGAGACCGCGAGGUGGAGGAAAUCUGGAAAACUGGGCUCAGUUCAGAUUGGAGGCUGCAACUCGCCUCCAUGAAGUCGGAAUCGCUAGUAAUGCCGUAUCAUCUACGACGGCGUGAAUACGUUCCCGGGUCUUGUACACACCGCCCGUCACAUCAUGGAAGCUGGUCGCACCCGAAGCGCAUGUACCAACCCGCAAGGGGGGUAGUGCUCUAAGGUAAGGCUGGUAACUGGGAUGAAGUCGUAACAAGGUAGCCGUAGGGGAACCUGCGGCUGGAUCACCUCCUUUCUACGGAGAAAUUCG
rnacentral:rRNA from 1 species